GUUGGAUUUCUGGCUGGGCGCCGAUGUGACACAAAGUGCUCACAAGGCACCGGCCAUCCUUCUGUAAACUAGGUUAGUCUUUGAUUAGACUGCUUAGGGAUCAGAUAAUUUACCUUGAGAAAAUUAGAGUGUUUCAGGCAGGCUUAGCCGGAAUACAUUAGCAUGGAAUAAUGGAAUAGGACUAUGGUCUCGUUGUUGGUUUGAGGGAUCGCAGUAAUGAUUAAUAGGGAUAGUUGGGGGCAUUAGUAUGUAUUAGCUAGAGGUGGAAUUACUCUAAUUUAAUAAAGACUAACUUAUGCGAAAGCAUGUGCCAAGGAUGUCUUCAUUAAUCAAGAACGAAAGUUAGGGGAUCAAAGACGAUCAGAUACCGUCCUAGUCUUAACCAUAAACUAUGCCGACUCGGGAUCGGGAGCGCGUGUUAUCCGCUUUCGGCACCGUAUGAGAAAUCAAAGUCUUUGGGUUCUGGGGGGAGUAUGGACGCAAGGCUGAAACUUAAAGGAAUUGACGGAAGGGCACCACCAGGCGUGGAGCUUGCGGCUCAAUUUGACUCAACACGGGAAAACUUACCAGGUCCAGACAUGAUGAGGAUUGACAGAUUGAUAGCUCUUCCUUGAUUCU
rnacentral:rRNA from 1 species